rnacentral:rRNA from 1 species
UACGUAGGGUGCGAGCGUUAAUCGGAAUUACUGGGCGUAAAGCGUGCGCAGGCGGUUUUGUAAGCCAGAUGUGAAAUCCCCGGGCUUAACCUGGGAAUGGCAUUUGGGACUGCAAGGCUUGAGUGCGGCAGAGGAGACUGGAAUUCCUGGUGUAGCAGUGAAAUGCGUAGAUAUCAGGAGGAACACCGAUGGCGAAGGCAGGUCUCUGGGCCGUUACUGACGCUGAGGAGCGAAAGCGUGGGGAGCGAACAGG